UGGGGAAUUUUCCGCAAUGGGCGAAAGCCUGACGGAGCAAUGCCGCGUGGAGGUGGUAAGGCCUACGGGUCGUCAACUUCUUUUCUCGGAGAAGAAACAAUGACGGUAUCUGAGGAAUAAGCAUCGGCUAACUCUGUGCCAA
rnacentral:rRNA from 1 species